rnacentral:rRNA from 1 species
GUUAUCAAAAACAUAGCCCAAAGAUUUAUUUUGGGUAAAUUCUGCCCAGCGUAAUUUAUUAGCGGCCGCAGUACUUUGACUGUGCUAAGGUAGCAUAAUCAAUUGGCUUUUAAUUGUAGUCUGGAAUGAAAGGACUAAUAGGGGUUAGCUGUCUCUAUACUAUUAUUUUGAAUUUAUUUAUUAAGUGAAAAUACUUAUACAAAGAAAAAAGACGAGAAGACCCUUAGAAUUUUAAUAAAAUAUUUAAUAAUUUUUUUUUGUUGGGGCGACAUUGAAACAAUUAAACUUUCAUUAACAAUCAAGACAUUUAGGUUUGAAAGAAUAAAUUACCUUAGGGAUAACAGCAUAAUUAAUUAUUUAGUUUGUGACCUCGAUGUUGGACUAGGAACUAGAAGAUUAACCGUCUAAAUAGAUUGUUCUGUUCGAACAGAAAUUCCUACGUGAUCUGAGUUCAGA